rnacentral:rRNA from 1 species
AGAUUGAACGCUGGCGGCAUGCCUAACACAUGCAAGUCGAACGGGAGUAGCAAUACUCUAGUGGCGGACGGGUGAGGAAUACGUAGGAAUUUGCCCUUAAGUGGGGAAUAACCCGGGGAAACCCGGAUUAAUACCGCAUGACCUCGAAAGAGCAAAGUGGGGGAUCGCAAGACCUCACGCUUUUGGAGAAGCCUACGUCGGAUUAGCUAGUUGGUGAGGUAAUGGCUCACCAAGGCGACGAUCCGUAACUGGUCUGAGAGGAUGAUCAGUCACACCGGAACUGAGACACGGUCCGGACUCCUACGGGAGCAGCAGUGGGGAAUAGUGGACAAGUGGGCGCAAGCCUGAUCCAGCAAUGCCGCGUGUGUGAAGAGGCCCUUGGUUGUAAAGCGUAACUUUAAGGUUAGGGAAGAAAAAACUCGACUCUAAACACAGUAGAGUC